UUUGACAGAGUGUUCUGUCCCAUUCCCUUUCUUCUGGGAAUAAGGGCACAGGAUACUAAACAAAUAGAUCACCUGGUCUGGGAACACCUGAUUUCUGGAGAGGCUGAGACUUCUAGGUGUUUGCUAGAAAGAUCCAAAUACAGGAAAGAGAAAACAGCUGCUGCGUUCACAAGAAAACGGAGGAUGCAUUUCUCCCCAUGACUUCGGCUUGUUUGGGUUCGCAUUUCAAGUGCUCUGACUGGGCUUUAUGGAAUGUCCUGUCAAGCUUUUGAUUGUGAAAAUAAAGUUACAGAGACACAGGGGAACAAUAAUCACAGACGCGAUUUGUAGCACAGACACGGCCUUUCAUUUCAUUCCUCUUUUCUGUGUUUACAAAUUGCGACUGUUAGAGAAACGUUGGCCAAGCUGGCUCUUUAACCUGGCCACAUAUUUAUUUUGGCCACUCUUAGCUUUUAUUUCGCAAGGUCUCAUACUCACCAGCUCAGGUGCUUGUUACAUAAGAAAGCUCUGCCGGCGGAGUGCCAAAAAUUCAGCUCAGCAUUUUCUGCCUCCCUGCAGUGGUCCCAAGGAAUGGAUACCUCUGCAACCAUCUGCAACCUGGACCUUUGCAACAGGAAUCUCAGGCCAAAUGGAAAUGGAGCCUUUUAUGAAGUUUCCCUCUUUUUAAGCUGGAAAGUUGGCAGCGACGUCGUUUCGAAAUGAGUCGGAAAGUCUGGGUUGGGCUGGCAACAUCACCCCUAAGAUGAGGGCCGUUUACAAAUUUGUUUAUAAAAAGUGGGGGAGCUGGAGCUGUGUUUUCUUGGCGCUGUGCUGGAAUUCUGACCACUCGAAGAUGAGAUCUCAUUCUAGGAGUGCUUGCUAGUGCCUCCUUCAGGGACCAACCCUGUCAAGUGGGAAGGCAUGAAGUUCAAGAAGUCAGCAUUCCCAGAGGCAGGUCAGCUUGCUUUCAUUCUGUCGUACUCGGUUUCCUUACUUUCCUCCUAACACGUUACCUCUGAAGCAAAUGUUCCCGAGCACUGUCCCCUUCUAGAAAGACCUUGUAUGAGAACCUUAUCUUUGCACAGAGUGUGGAGACCGCCAUUAGGGCAGACGGGAUGGAUUUGACCAACCCAGGUCACAAACCAGUGAUGAUGGAGAGGAGAAUUCCACGAGUUAGCCAGGGCGCAGCGGGACAGAGGGAACCUGGCUCCUUACUUACAACAGCUUCUUGGAGCAAGGAAUCUUGGACAAAAAAAUAAAAGCAUUAGAUCGGUUCAAGGCUAUUUGUUCAACUCCACAUCUAACUCUGCUCUGGGUCCCAGAGACACCAACGUACACAAGAUUCACUUCUUAUGUCCCAGGAGCCCAUGGUCUACCCAGGAAAGCAGAGAGGAGAAAGAAGACCUGUUCUGUGAGGCUGAAUAAUUGAGCUGUGGGUAGGAACCUGAAGAGAGCAGAGCCAGGGCAGACCCCAAGGAGGGGAACUGAGCUGAGCCUGGCAAGAUGAACCCCAGCUUGCCCUCCUCCAUUGAGUGUGGUGAGGAGGCCCACAAAGGGCCUAGAAAUGUUCAUCAUGGAGCUUGGGAGAGAGGGAGAGAGGGGCCGCUCAAACUGUGUAUGUUGGUAUCACCAUUAUAAUUGCCUACACUUUACAAAAAGGCAAAACUGUUCAAAACUGUCACUUUCUGAAAAGGUGACAGAAUUCAGAGGUGGAGACUCCACCCAAGUACCGUCAGGCACAGCUGCUGCUGGGAAGCCUCUCCAAAAUGAGUUGAAGGCCACAGGCCUUGGAUGCUGGGCAGAUAGCAGAGACUGCUGGGCACCCCGGUGCCACAGAGUGCAAGAAGGUUCUCCCCCAACAGCCCCUUCCACGAACACCCUGGCACCUGCCCUGCAUGGUCCUGCUUCUAGGAACUUUCUUUCUUUUUUUUUUUUUUUUUAGACAGAGUCCUACUCUUGUUGCCCAGGCUGGAGUGCAGUGGCACUGUCUCGGCUCACUGCAACCUCUGCUUCCUGGGUUCAAGCGAUUCUCCUGCCUCAGUCUCCCAAGUAGCUGGGAUUACAGGUGCCCGCCAUCAAGCCCAUGUGUCUCUGUGUUGUCAUUUAAUGUCAGUGCAAGGACUCUGAUCAGCUAUAUUGAAAUAAUAUAUUACAUAUAAUAAUAUUGAAAUAGUUAUCAUGGGAAUGUAGAAAAUCACUUGUUUUCUUAAUCAAAGGUUUAAAAUGCUUUUGGAAUUAUUUUAAUAAGUAUUAUUUUUACCCAUUUCAGAGUCUUAUAGAGAACAAAUCUACAGCAGCCCUGGGGCUCCUCAGGGAGAACAGCGAUGGGUAUUUUGGGAGGGGCCUCAUGGUGGCCCCACAGGCUGAGGAGCGAGCUGUCUGAUUAGUGCAUUUGGAGAAGGGGUGAGCAUUCUCAGCUGAGAGCCUCUUGCUUUUGGGGAGUGUUUUGACUAAUAGUGGCCAAUUAUUCACACCAUGAUAAAAAAUAUCAGUCAUGAUAGAUAGCAAGCUCUUCUCGUGUUCACGACUCGGAGUGAGGUAGCGUUCUGAUUCUCUUCCCUUUGUUACCAGAAAAGGGUCCCAAUCCAGACCCCAAGAGAAGGUUCUUGGAUAUCACACAAAAAAGAAUUCGGGGUGAGUCCAUACAGUAAAGUGAAAUCAAGUUUAUUAGGAAAGUAAAGGAAUAAAGAAUGGCUGCUCGUGGACUGCUCA